CUAAUUGAAAUAAGCGGUUGAGAUGCUUAAUAAAAUGACCAAAGAUGGUAGUGAUCCUCAUAUUGUCACAUAUUCCGCAUUAUAAAAUGGAUUUUGCAAGGUGGGUAGGUUUAAAACUGCUGAGGAGACAGUGUGUAGAAUUUACUGAGCUGCUCUUAGCCCAAAUGGCAUUGUAGACUCAACGCUGAUAUACAAUUAUUGAAGGAUGUGAUGCAUAAAAGAAGCUUUAAGAAUUUAUGAAGCUAUGGUCCUUGAGGGCCAUACUCCAGAGAAUUUCACGUUCAAUGUACUUGUCCUCGCUAUGUAAAGUGUGUGAGGCGGACGAAUUUAUGCGUUGCAUGAUAAUUGAUAAAUGAUGGUUAUCUUAAGAGAUAAACUCAUAAAAGCUUUUGAAACAAACCAUAUGGUCCCUCUUUCCCUAAGCAAAUGAGCGUUAUAAGCGCAUAUCUCAAAUGCCUUUCUUUUCUGUUACACGGUUCAUUCAAAAUCCUUAUGUUUGUUACUCUUUCGUUGCUUAUUUAUGGUUGUCAUGUAUUGUGUUAUAUGCUUUCCAGGUGAAGUUGCAGCUUAUCACCGUGAAGAGCUGGAUGUGCAAAAUCAAUGAUCUGUAGAGGAACCAGCUAAAAAGUCCCUAGAGCUUUGCCUGAUUCACAAGUCUUGAUGUGAGUGCCAACCAGUUCCAGAAGCUAGAGCUCUUGAAUUUGUGCUGUUAUGCAGAACAUGACAAGCCAGACAGUGAAGCGUCUCUUUCACUGGCUGUUUUCGCUGACAAAUACAAUUCAAAAACCAUACCAAAAAAAGAUCAAAACUCUUAAUGGAGUUUUUAUAACCUCUAGAGACAGGAAGAGGAGCAAACUCUGAAUAAUAGCUGGGGCUGUGUUGGCAAUUCACAUGCUAACUUCAGUUGUAAAUGAGCCUGAUCUCUUUGAUAUAAUGAAAUGUAGAGCAAUGGAAGACGCAAAGGUGGUUCUUCUAUGUGUGUGUUUGAGGAAUCUUUUGAUGUAAGUAUUGUCGGAAUGGAGACAGAGAGAAACUUGUUUUUGUUGUGUUGGGAUGGUGUCUGAUGGAUCUUGAUGCAGACAGAAUCUAACACUUCGUCAGAUUGCAUCACUGGGUUUGUUCCAUUUUGCAGUACCACUCGUGAGCCUGUAACACAAAAUAUUAUUAUUAUAUCCCUUCUCAAUGUGUAAGAUUGUCUGUUAGUCUUCUAACAAUUGCUAUUACAUUUAUGCUAAUUUGCGUUUAUGCCAA